UACGGAGGGUGCAAGCGUUAUCCGGAUUCACUGGGUUUAAAGGGCGCGUAGGUGGGCAAGUAAGUCAGUGGUGAAAUCUCCGGGCUUAACCCGGAAACUGCCAUUGAUACUAUUUGUCUUGAAUACUGUGGAGGUCAGCGGAAUAUGUCAUGUAGCGGUGAAAUGCUUAGAUAUGACAUAGAACACCAAUUGCGAAGGCAGCUGGCUACACAAAUAUUGACACUGAGGCACGAAAGCGUGGGGAUCAAACAGG
rnacentral:rRNA from 1 species